GAUGAACGCUGGCGGCGUGCCUAAUACAUGCAAGUCGAGCGAACAGACGAGGAGCUUGCUCCUUUGACGUUAGCGGCGGACGGGUGAGUAACACGUGGGUAACCUACCUAUAAGACUGGGAUAACUUCGGGAAACCGGAGCUAAUACCGGAUAAUAUUUCGAACCGCAUGGUUCGAUAGUGAAAGAUGGCUUUGCUAUCACUUAUAGAUGGACCUGCGCCGUAUUAGCUAGUUGGUAAGGUAACGGCUUGCCAAGGCAACGAUACGUAGCCGACCUGAGAGGGUGAUCGGCCACACUGGAACUGAGACACGGUCCAGACUCCUACGGGAGGCAGCAGUAGGGAAUCUUCCGCAAUGGGCGAAAGCCUGACGGAGCAACGCAGCGUGAGUGAUGAAGGUCUUCGGAUCGUAAAACUCUGUUAUUAGGGAAGAACAAACGUGUAAGUAACUGUGCACGUCUUGACGGUACCUAAUCAGAAAGCCACGGCAAACUACGU
rnacentral:rRNA from 1 species